rnacentral:rRNA from 1 species
AAUCAACGCUGGCGGCGUGCCUAACACAUGCAAGUCGAACGCGAAAGGGACUUCGGUCCUGAGUAGAGUGGCGAACGGGUGAGUAACGCGUGGGUGAUCUACCCUAGAGUGGGGGAUAACGGUUCCGAAAGGGACGCUAAUACCGCGAUGAUGUUCCGGGUUUGAAGACCUGGAAACCAAAGCCGGGGACCGCAAGGCCGUGGCGCUCAAGGAGGAGCCCGCGUCUGAUUAGCUAGUUGGCGGGGUAAUGGCCCACCAAGGCGACGAUCAGUAGCCGGCCUGAGAGGGCGGACGGCCACACUGGGACUGAGACACGGCCCAGACUCCUACGGGAGGCAGCAGUGGGGAAUUGUUCGCAAUGGGCGCAAGCCUGACGACGCAACGCCGCGUGGAGGAUGAAGGUCUUCGGAUUGGUAAACUCCUGUUGAUCGGGACGAAAGCUUCGACCUAACACGUCGGAGACUGACGGUACCGGUUGAGGAAGCCACGGCUAACUCUGUGCCAGCAGCCGCGGUAAAGUAGUCG